GUAAAAUGCUAAAACUUCUUUGGAAAUGAGUUCAGUAACUUUUUAAACAGUUGAAAAUAGACCUAUCAUGCAAACCAGCAAUCCCACUUCCAGGUAUUUAUACAAGGAAAAUGACAACAUAUGCCCACAUAAAGACUUGUGCACAAAUGACCGUAGCAGCUUUGUGAUAAUUGCUAAAAACUAGAAACUUGUCAAGUGUCCAACAGCUAAGGAAAUAGAGACAAACUACAUAAGUUGCUGAAAAAUCACAGCAAAUAAUUAGCUGAGGAAGAGACUCAAAUCUAUCAGAACUGCUUGACUUUUGAUCCUGAGCUUAUGCGCAUCCAGUGGGCAAGUGAGGGUGCAUGGGUUUGUGAAGACUCCAGCAGUAUGAUUGGGGGUACAGGGUGAACUCCGAGACCAUCUCUCCUAUUCAUUUACAUCCUCAGAACUUAGCACGAUGUCUGACCAUAGUGGAUUUUCAAUAAGUAACUAUGGGGUGGAGGCAUGGGGGCACCAAUGCAGGAAUCACCACACCUACUCAGAAAGAAGGCAUUUACCAAAUUGCAAAGGAACACAUCCUGCCUGCAGACAAUAAAUGGUGUGUGAUGCUUCCAUGAAGUGAGAUGGAUGGAGCUCUCCGUUGCUAACUGGCCCAUAACCACGGUCAUUAAUCACACACGGCAC
rnacentral:lncRNA from 10 species